rnacentral:rRNA from 1 species
AACGACGCUGGCGGCAGGCCUCAUACAUGCAAGUCGAGCGAUUAAGACUCCUUCGGGAGUGUAUAAAGCGGCGAACGGGUGAGUAACAGGUGGAUGAUCUACCUUCCGGUGGGGGAUAACGGCUGGAAAACGGCCGCUAAUACCGCAUUCGGUUAAUACGCUGUGGCGUAUUAAAGAAAGGCGCCUCAAAGCGCCGCCGGGAGAUGAGUCCGCCCCCCAUUAGCUAGUUGGUGAGAUAACAGCUCACCAAGGCAACGAUGGGUAGCCGAACUGAGAGGUUGAUCGGCCACACUGGAACUGAGACACGGUCCAGACACCUACGGGUGGCAGCAGUAGGGAAUAUUGGGCAAUGGGCGAAAGCCUGACCCAGCCAUGCCGCGUGAGUGAUGAAGGUCCUAGAGAUUGUAAAACUCUUUUCUGAGGAAAGAAUGAAUAGGGAAGGAAAUGUCCUUAUUUUGACGGUACCUCAGGAAUAAGGAACGGCUAACUCCGUG